rnacentral:rRNA from 1 species
UACUCGCCUCCCUCCAAUCCCUCCUCCCCGACCCGAUCGAUCCCACCCCACCCCACCCCACCCCGCCCCAUACGACGGCAAUCGCCGACGCCGACCGAUCCGGCCGCCGCGCGGAGCAGGGGAGGAGCCAGCCUCGCCUUUCGGACCGGCCAGACCGCGCGAUGCGUCCGGGCGGGCCGCCGAACGCGCGGCCGGGCCUGCAGCAGCAGCAGCCCGGCACGCCGGGCCGGGCGCGGCGCCGGCCGNNNNNCACGCUCCCGCUCCCGCAGCGCGACCUGACGUCGCUGGCCGUGCCGCUGCCGCUGCCCCCGCCCCCGUCCUCCGCGCCGUCGUCCACGUCCUCGUCCGGGUCGGGGUCGGGGUCGGGCGGCGCGUCGUCCAUGCCCAUGCCCAUGUCCAUGACCCCGCCCAACUCGGCCGGCUCCGCGCCGCCCGCGCCCCCGCCGCUGGGCGAGCUGGAGCGGGUCCGCCGCGUCGGGAGCGGCGCCGGCGGGACGGUGUGGCUGGUGCGGCACGCGCCCACGGGCCGCGCCUACGCGCUCAAGGUGCUCUACGGGCACCACGACGAGGCGGUCCGGCGGCAGAUCACGCGGGAGAUCGCCAUCCUGCGCACGGCGGAGCACCCGUCCAUCGUGCGCUGCCACGGCAUGUACGAGCAGGCCGGCGAGCUGCAGAUCCUGCUCGAGUACAUGGACGGCGGGUCGCUGGACGGCCGGCGCAUCGCGUCCGAGUCCUUCCUCGCGGACGUGGCGCGGCAGGUGCUGUCGGGGAUCGCCUACCUCCACCGGUGCCACAUCGUGCACCGCGACAUCAAGCCGUCCAACCUGCUCAUCGACUGCGGGCGGCGCGUGAAGAUCGCCGACUUCGGGGUGGGGCGCAUCCUGAACCAGACCAUGGACCCCUGCAACUCCUCCGUGGGCACCAUCGCGUACAUGAGCCCCGAGCGCAUCAACACCGACCUCAACGACGGCAACUACAACGGCUACGCCGGCGACAUCUGGAGCUUCGGCCUCAGCAUCCUCGAGUUCUACCUGGGCCGCUUCCCGCUCGGGGAGAACCUGGGGAAGCAGGGCGACUGGGCGGCCCUCAUGUGCGCCAUCUGCUACUCCGAGUCGCCGGCGGCGCCGCCCACCGCGUCCCCGGAGCUGCGGAGCUUCAUCAGCUGCUGCCUCCAGAAAAACCCGGCGAAGCGGCCGUCCGCGGCGCAGCUGCUGCAGCACCGGUUCAUCGCCUCGCCGCCGCCGCAGCAGCCGCAGGCCCUCGCCGCCCCGCCGUGCUGACGGCUCCCCCGCCGUAACCAAGUUAAAUUCGGAGGGAUCAUGGGUGGACGGUGGCCGGUGGCGGGACGUGGGAUCUAGGAGGAGGGGCGAUCGAUCUUUCCUCCUCCUCUUAGCCAUUUUGGGUAGUGAAGCCACCACCACAAAUUUACCCAUCCAAUCCCUCUGUUGUUGCCGUCGCUCCUGAAAUUAAGCUCAAGCUUUUUCUUUAGUUCCUGUUAAUGUCAAUUAAAUGUUCUCCCCUCCAAAUGAUGAUGAUUAUUCUGAUGAUGAUGAUGAUGAUUAUUCUGAUGAUGAUGAUGAUGAUG